CGCACACUCAGGACACCAAUUGUCAAAAAAUUUCCCCUGCAAAGUGUCAUAUGUUAGAGAGGGCGUCUGCAGGAGGCGGCGGCGGCGGCGGCGCAGGGCGAGCGGCGCGGAGGGAGACUGUUGCUGCAGAGCAGAGAUGUCUUCUGGGCAUGACGAGGAGGAAUCCUAGCAGGUACACGCGCACACUUCUCCUCGGGAUAAACAGGCUCGAGGCGCAGAUUGCAGGCGCGUGCGCUCUCUGUUUAGUUUUUGUCGGUGUUGGCGGCGUGUGAGAGCAUCCCGAAGGCCCGACGCGGCGGAGCGUCGCCGCUGCACUCUAAACUGUUUGGACUCAUCUAAAUAUUUCCUCUCACAGCAGGAGGCUGCGCACUGCCGAGGAUGUAGAUGAUAGCACUAUGAUGAUGAUGGUGAUGGUGAUGAUGAUGUCUCGUGCCCGGUGAUGGCGCGCGCAGCCCUCCCAUUUUCUCUCGUGGAAGUGAAAGACUGAAAGGCUCGAAAGUUGACAGCUCUUCCAGGCAAUUCUUUACGGGAACUCAAUCCACUUCCACCGCAGCGCGGGCCGCCACGCACAGAUAAGUCUCGUCGUUUGUUUUUGCGGCUGCAAACACUCCUGAUAUUUGAUUUGCUUAAUAGAAGAAAAAAAAGGUUGCGGUGAAGUUUUGCCUUCAAGAUAACAGAGAUCUAACAAGAAAGAGGUUGGAAGUUUUUUUUUCUUCUUUUAUGUUUUUAAAAAAAAAACUUUGCUCACUUAUCGCGUUGGCUAUUGCGGUUUAUGUUUAUUUGCGUGUUCGUUUGCACACUUUUCGCUGAAGAAUUGCGCAUGUGUUGGAAAGCCGCCGCAAACUCCCAUGUAUCUGCGCCGCUUCUCGUGCAACAGUCCAGCUGACCGCUCCCCCCUCCCCCGGAUCUCCCAACCAACCAACACCACCUCCCCCCGAGGAGAACCCCUUCAAGAGGACACCUCAUACGGAGGAAAAAUCAGAAACGGGCCACUUCACUGGAUGAGAUUCUCCAAAGAAGCGUCUCAGCUCGGAGUCGCCGGUGUCGCCACGCCACGCAUGACGGACACGGCCCAAGGAAGGAGAGGACAAAACAAGGUUCAGUCCUGAACCGAGCAGGCUCUGCAGCGGGGAUGAGAGCACGGGAAAAGCAUAUCCGUCUCCGGCGUCUGGCUGAUGACUUCAUCAGAAAGCAGCGAACAGAGGGGACCGACGGGAGACAAGCUUAUCAUUGUGUUGAUGAUCAAGAAGUUCAAUGCACAGAUCAUUUGAAGGACUCUGUGAUGUGUGUGUGUCAGCAACAGAAUCCUUCCAGGGGCUCGGAGCUCUCUAAAGAGGCAUCCAUCUCUUGGGGUCUUUUGUGUUGGGAGGAGCAUCCAAGGUCACCAGCUGAAAGACCUCCCUUUGUGCUCUUGUGUGUGUUGCCUCCAUCUAGUGACUCAGGAUCCUUGGCCUAUUAAUUGACCUGACAAUGAUAAAGGAAAUGGAAGUGGAUGCUAUUUGUCUCUAAUGCACCCACACUCAUAUUAUCCCAAAGACAAAUGGGUGCCGUUUUCCCACUUGAGCUGCUCUAAUUUUUUAAACCCCCCUCUCAGGAUGUGUAGGGACAGGGUGUAAGUGGGACAUUAUGUGGGCAUAUAUGAGCCAAUGUUAUUUGUGUCGAGCAGAGAUUUCCAAAGUGGGAGGUCAAGACCCUGUUGUGAAUUGUAUACAGUUUAAAGAAAACACAAUUGCUGAUAAAACAUGUUACCAAUUUGUGAUCAAUAUGAACCCACAGUAUUAAGUUCUGCAUGGUGGUUUCAGCACAUCUACCCCGUAGAAGAGGUUUCUGGGCAUGAAGUUUUGCUUGGCCCAAGCCUUAGUGCAAACAGUUUUAGUGUUUUCCCCCUACAUGUGUGGGGUUUCUUCCUUUAUUAUCAUGUAUCCCACACUGAAAAGACAUAAAUGUCACAUUGACUGGUCUCUGUAAACUGCCAUCAGGUGUGGGUGUGUGUUUGUUGUUCCUGUUGUCCUGACACAUCCAACAUGUACUCCACCCCACCUGUAUACUAUGUAUUUGCUUGUGAAGGAAAGUGAAAGAACAUUUAUUGUUGAAAGUCAUCACCUGAUGUUAAAGGUCAUGGAAACUGAAUGCUUGAAGCUAACUACUUGGUGAUGAGACUGUGAAGGUCUCUGCUAUAUUUAUCUCUAAAAUGGACUAUUGUUAACAGUGUCUCAGAUAAGUGACCUCACAUGUGACAUGACAAAGUCCAGGUGUAUUUACACAAACCCCUAACAAAUAUAUAUUAUUUGAUACACUGCCUGGCCAAAAAAAAAAAAGUCAACCCCUGGAUUUAAGCAAAUAGGUACAAGGCUCCUACUGGAUAAUUACUGCAUGGGAGAUUAUGUCUCAGAUGGCAACAAGUUAUUUAACCCCAACUGGUGCAAUGAGUUGCUUCUCAUUUCUUAAUCAACCAUGUGGAAAAGACACAUCCUAUGGUGUGUCAGUCUGUUUGAUAAGGGUCAAAUCAUUGGCAUGCAUCAAACAGAAAAAAAACUAAGGAGAUUGCAGAAAGUACUAAAACUGGGUCAAGAACUGUCCAACACCUUACUGAAAACUAGGAGAAAGUUCUUCUUCAAGGAAGAAAUGUGGCCGGAAAAAAUCCUGAGUGAUCACAAUCGGCGAUCACUUAAUGUCUGAAAUCAAAUAAAAAUUAAAAAUAAAAAAAAAUAAAACGUAGAAUUCCAGGGACUGUUUAUAGUCAAAGUAAGAACAUUUCCACAAGCACAAUGUGAAGGGAACUCUUGGGACUGGGACUGAACAGCUAUGUAGCCUUAAAAAAACCACUAAUUGUUGAGGCUAACCAGAAAAAAAGGCUUUGAUUUGCUAGGGAACAUAAAGAUUGACUCUGGAGCAAUGGAAGGAGGUCAUAUGGUCUGAUAAGUCCAGCUUUACCCAGAAUUCCAGAGUGAUGGGUGCAUCAGGUGGUCCAACAAAAUAUUAGAGUGUGUAACCUUUUUUUUGUUUGCAACCGUUUUUUGACCAGGUAGUGUGUUUUUGUUGUUGUAGAUCCAUUAACUUAUUUCUGAUGAUGUUUAAUAAUCAAAUAAAGUCUUCAUAAGCAUA